UGAGGAAUAUUGGUCAAUGGGCGCAAGCCUGAACCAGCCAUCCCGCGUGCAGGAAGACGGCCCUAUGGGUUGUAAACUGCUUUUCCAGGGAGAGAAACUUGCGUACGCGUUGCGCAAUUGACGGUACCAUGGGAAUAAGCAUCGGCUAACUCCGUGCCAGCAGCCGCGGUAAUACGGAGGAUGCGAGCGUUAUCCGGAUUCAUGGGGUUUAAAGGGUGCGUAGGCGGACUAUUAAGUCAGUGGUGAAAGCCUGCAGCUUAACUGCAGAACUGCCAUUGAUACUGAUAGCCUUGAGUUGGGUUAAGGUAGGCGGAAUGUGUAAUGUAGCGGUGAAAUGCUUAGAGAUUACACAGAACACCAAUUGCGUAGGCAGCUUACUGAGCCGACACUGACGCUGAGGCACGAAAGCGUGGGGAUCGAACA
rnacentral:rRNA from 1 species